rnacentral:sRNA from 1 species
AGAAGUUCGGCCGAGAUCAUCUGCGGGGUGGAGGGGGCGUCGGUGGGCUGACCGACACUGCAGCUACCUGAAAUGCAGAGAAAAUGAUCCGCGCCGGGGAGGACGUUCGCGGGAAUUCAUGGGCUUUGGAUGCGCCUUGCACGCGUCCUGACGUUUCGAAGUCGGUGGAUUUCGCGAGCGUGACGUAUUGCUCGCAAUGCGUCGGACUUUGGUAAAGCGCAACUCGGCGCGGGAGCCUCUCCCGCGCCGUUUUCUUAU